rnacentral:rRNA from 1 species
UACGAAGGGGGCUAGCGUUGCUCGGAAUCACUGGGCGUAAAGGGUGCGUAGGCGGGUCUUUAAGUCAGGGGUGAAAUCCUGGAGCUCAACUCCAGAACUGCCUUUGAUACUGGAAGAUCUUGAGUUCGGGAGAGGUGAGUGGAACUGCGAGUGUAGAGGUGAAAUUCGUAGAUAUUCGCAAGAACACCAGUGGCGAAGGCGGCUCACUGGCCCGGUACUGACGCUGAGGUGCGAAAGCGUGGGGAGCAAACAGG